rnacentral:tRNA from 1 species
GGUCUUAUAUUCAUAAUACAUGAUUAUAGAAUGCAAUUCUGUAGGAGUAAUUAAUAAUUACUAAGGCUU